rnacentral:rRNA from 1 species
UAUAUGUCUAGCAUGCGAGUCAUUGUAGCAUACAAGGCAUACGGCUCAGUAACGCGUAGUCAACCUAACCUAUGGACGGGAAUAACCUCGGGAAACUGAGAAUAAUGCCCGAUAGAACACUAUACCUGGAAUGGUUUGUGUUCCAAAUGAUUUAUCGCCAUAGGAUGGGACUGCGGCCUAUCAGUUUGUUGGUGAGGUAAUGGCCCACCAAGACUAUUACAGGUACGGGCUCUGAGAGGAGUAGCCCGGAGAUGGGUACUGAGACACGGACCCAGGCCCUAUGGGGCGCAGCAGGCGAGAAAACUUUGCAAUGUGCGAAAGCACGACAAGGUUAAUCCGAGUGAUUUGUGCUAAACGAAUCUUUUGUUAGUCCUAGAAACACUAACGAAUAAGGGGUGGGCAAGUUCUGGUGUCAGCCGCCGCGGUAAAACCAGCACCUCAAGUGGUCAGGAUGAUUAUUGGGCCUGAAGCAUCCGUAGCCGGCUCUGUAAGUUUUCGGUUAAAUCUGUACGCUUAACGUACAGGCUGCCGGGAAUACUGCAGAGCUAGGGAGUGGGAGAGGUAGACGGUACUCGGUAGGAAGUGGUAAAAUGCUUUGAUCUAUCGAUGACCACCUGUGGCGAACGCGGUCUACCAGAACACGUCCGACGGUGAGGGAUGAAAGCUGGGGGAGCAAACCGGGAUUAGAUACCCGGGGUAGUCCCAGCUGUAACUAUGCAACUUCAGUGAUGCAUGGCCUGCGGCGAUGCAGUGCUGCCAGGGCAGC